CCAACAGAGAGAGCCUCAGAGAGCCUGGCUGUCCGCACAGAGAGGAGAGGGAAGCUCACACACCGGCUGUGAUGCGUAGCGGGGCUCUGCUGGCUCAACAACACUCGGAUGGGAUAAAACCUCCCGGUGCUCACAUCUAACCGCUCACUGUGCGCGCGCGUGUGUGCCGCGAGGACUGAGACAUGCUCCUGUAGCGCGAGGCGCGAGUGAUAUUAUCGUGUUUGCUGCACAGAAAUAUUUGGCUUGGCCCUAACUUGGAGCCGUGUGGACGCUGAGCAAGUUUUUUUAUUCACUUGAAUCCCAUUUGAGUCGUUUCACUCGGAGCACCGGGGCGAGAUGGAGACCGAAAAGUACUUACCGGAGCUUAUGGCGGAGAAGGACACGCUGGAUCCGUCUUUUCAGCACUCCCUGCGGCUACUGGAUCAAGAGAUUGAAAAAAUUCAGAAAGACGAGGGGAAGGAAGAAGAGAAGUUCAUUGACGUCGUCAUCAACAAGAACAUGAAACUGGGCCAGAAAGUUUUAAUACCAGUCAAGCAGUUUCCUAAAUUUAACUUUGUCGGCAAACUCCUCGGGCCACGCGGGAACUCGUUAAAGAGACUACAGGAGGACACUCUCACAAAGAUGUCAAUUCUGGGAAAAGGAUCCAUGAGAGACAAAGAAAAGGAGGAAGAGCUACGGCAGAGUGGCGAGGCCAAAUAUCACCACCUGAACGAAGACCUGCACGUCCUCAUCGAGGUGUUCGCCCCGCCAGCUGAGGCCUACGCCAGGAUGGGUCAUGCUCUGGAGGAGAUCAAGAAGUUUCUCAUACCAGAUUACAAUGAUGAGAUCAGACAGGCCCAGCUGCAGGAGCUCACAUACCUGAACGGUGGCUCGGAGGAUGCCAAGGUGCCAUCGGUGAGGGGCAAGUCAGCCGCCCGUGGAAGAGGGACACCUGUUCCAGGGCCUCCCAGGAGUCGAGGAGGAGUUCCUCCCCUGCACGCGGCCGUGCCUCGAGGAGCAGCACCCAGAGGAGCCCCACCCAGCCGCGCUCCAUCUUCCAGAGGGAGAGGGGUUCAGAGAGCCAGAGGCUCCCCCCCAACCGCCGGGUACCGACCGGCUCCUCCAAUCGUUCAGGACACAUACGGGGAAUAUGAAUAUGACGACGGCUACGGAACAGCUUAUGACGACCAAGGAUACGAAUCAUAUGACAACAACUACAGUAAUCAAGGACAGAACUCAGACGACUACUAUGAAUACGGACACAGCGGGGAAUCAUACGAGUCGUAUGGUCUGGAGGAGUGGGCAAACAAUCUUGGCAAGGCACCGCCAGCACGAACAACCAAGGGAGUGUACAGAGAUCAGCCAUACACCAGAUAUUGAACUGUUUAUACAACCCGCACCUGAGUCCUCAUGGCUGUUUCAACUCAAGUCGAUGUCCCGGCUAGCCCAGGCCAUCCGUCCAAGUAUCUCACUGGUGCUAAAGACUUGACAAACCGCACACAAGCUUCCAUCAAACAUUCAAGCCCACACAGUGACAAAACAAAUCCCAAAAAGGCCGUCCCACUUCACAAAGGAUCGCCCUCCCUUUGACCAAACAGUGGACACAUUUUCACAGUCUGGACCGAGGUGACUCCUGCGGGGGAUGAGAUGGACCGACCUGUUGAGACGCAGGAAAUGGGGGGAAAAAAGAUAAUGCAUGUAUCGCACAUCGUCAUUCUCGGGAGGAAGGGAGGGACGGAGGAAACCCGUGAGGCAAAUGGAGUUCCUCAUCCUCUGGGACGAUCUGUCGGAGAAUAUUUCCUUCAGAGCCUCUGCGGCUCUGUAUACAUUUUACAUACACACAGGAGUGCUCUGAACUGACUCUGAACCUGCCCUGUGUCUUUCUUAAUUUAGACUGUUGUGGAGAGGAUGUGUCGACCACUCACAUUAGACAACGCCUACCAGGGAGGAAGAGUAAAUAAAUAAUGUAAUAUGCUAAGGUAUGACAUCAUACUCCCAGCAAAGACACGUCUAAUUUCAUAUUGUCGUGCUCAUUAACCUAUAUCCCAUCCACUCCAGUGAAUAAAUAAUUCACAAAGUGCCUUAUUGUUGCAUUGUUAUGACAGCUUUAGAUGUUUACUCCGCUGCCUGAGUUAAAAUAUGGGGCAGUGCACGAGAAUAAGUAGCUUUUUUUCUUAUUAUAUGCUGUUUUUCAGUUUUCUACGUGCAUCACCACAACGCUGGAAAACACCAGCAGCAGCCGCACACAAGAGUACAGUCUAUUCCAGAUGUAUUGCUUAAUCAGAAUCGACUUCAGUGGAUAUUACAAUUCCAAAAUAGCUUUCUAUCGGAUAGAGAGCUUCAUUCUGUCUUGUGCAUAAGUCCAGAUAGGCUGAUCCGUAUUCCACACAGUUGUAUGUCCUCAGUGGCAGACAAUAGUUUUCCAUUAGGGGAAGUGAUUCUCUCCGGAGCCUCGGGCCAAGCCUCACACAAUAACACAGCGACCUAAAGCUUGCAUCUCAGGCUCCCGGAGUCGACUCUCAUCACCUCCGGGUGCUGAUUCCCCCUCUGAGGUGGCUUAGCACGACAGGCUUAUCUGAAGUGAGCUUGUCCGAGUUAAUAAAGUAAGAGCAGCUUAUUUGAUUAUGAAUGCAUACAAAGGAGGAUCUCGUGAUCUGUCACUGGGAGACAAGUCCAUUUCAACACGGGAGGACAGAUCGAUGGGUACAGGGACCAGUGAAGGUGUUUUAAAAAGGCGUCGGAGGAUAUGGAGCAAAAUUAGAAAUAGCUUAGAGGCCCCGAAAAAUGAAUAUUUUCUCUUUUACUUUCAUACUAUGAUCGAUGACGCCCUACAUGAACACAUGAGGUUCUGCCAGAGUUUGAGCAGUUUGGUUCUUUAAAUUGAGGAUUUGUCUUCGUCCUUUUCUUUUCUCACUGAUUUUCAUUGGGCAGUCUGUUGGAAAAAUGUGAUGUCAUGUAUUUUUGUCACAUCUGAUCAGACCACACCCACUACUUUUUUUUGUUUGGGUGGGAAACUGUAAGCAAUACAUGCCGAGACUUAGAUAAACAGAAAGACAGCUAUAACCUGACUGUGCCCAGUGUUAAAAAUAUUCACCAACAGGCACCUCAGAUGCUCACUAAUAGUGCAGCAAUGUAUUUGUUUCGUCCAUACAACUGCUUAAGUGUAUAAAAAAGAAUUUGUCAAUAUACAGGGAUUAUGUGUCAGACUGUUUCUUGGCCUGGACCAGAAUCUUCAAUUCAAAGUGUCCACUGAUUAACUGGUUGAACUGUUGUUUUUAUGCUUGUUCUUACAUUGUUUUUCACUUAUUAAGAAAACUAAUUAUUAUAAGGUGUUAAUAAUUGAGCCUAAGGGGUGUUGGUACACAGAUUUUGUUACAUAGUUCAUUACUUAACUUCUUUGGUCAUGAACAUAAUAGUAAUACUCAAGAUUUGAAAUUGAAAAGUUUUCAGCAGCUUUAAUGUGUGUAAUUAUGUGAAAAUUAUUCUAAUGACAGGAUUUUGUUUGAAAAUAAGAGACUGCAGAUACAAUUCAUGUGUUUAUGUGAUGUUUCCAGACCAUCUUUUUCUCAUUGUCCCUGGGUCGAAUUUGUGGAGGGGUAGGAAGUAGAGGUAAUGAUACAGCAAUCUAAAUGAGUCAGUGGUCAACGAUCCAAUAUCAUAGUUGCAAAGUGAGAACAUAAACACAUAUUGUCAUCCUUAAGAUCAAAUCAAAUUUUAUUUAUGUAGCACAUUUAAUACAAAGUAAUCUCAAUGUGCUUAUACAUACAACACGUGUGAAUAAAAACAAAUUCAGCUACGCCUUUAUUUUGAAACUCCUUCCAUUCAAACAGUGCAAGCGGCCCAGCACCACACAGACAAUGGUAUGCAGCCAAGAAAAAUAAAAUGAGGAUACUUACUGAUAUUGUCUAGUAUUGAUCGCAGGCCCCUGAAUUCAGUCGAAUCAAAAUCGUAUCGUGCCAGACCUUUUGAUAUCAGCAAAAUAUUGUAUCGUCCAAAGAAUCAAUAUAAUUCUGGUGAAACUUGUUAUUUACAGCCCUAACAGGAGGUGUUUGUGUCUUUUUUUUAACUGCAACUUGGACACCAAAAUCAGAAAUUUCAAACUCAAUGAGUUAGUUAUUUAUAGACACACACAAAUAAAAUAUUUGGGUCUGAAAAAUAUACAAAAAAAAAAAAAAAAUACAAUAAACCCAUUAGUUAAAACAUGGGGUAAUACAAGUGGGUAAUACAAGGUAGAACACAUAACCACAUAGAGCCCCAUCAUUCAGUUGAGGUUUGCUGCUGCUCCAGUAGCUUCAGACACUCAUGUAAUAUGUUUACCGUAAAACUUGUAUUAGCAACACAGGCUAUUAUUUGCUUAAAGGGAUAGUGCACCCAAAAAUGAAAACUCAGCCAUUAUCUACUCACCCAU